GACGAAUGCUGGCGGCGUGCUUAACACAUGCAAGUCGAACGCUGAAGCACCAGCUUGCUGGUGUGGAUGAGUGGCGAACGGGUGAGUAAUACGUGAGUAACCUGCCCUUGACUCUGGGAUAAGCCCGGGAAACUGGGUCUAAUACUGGAUGCUACAUGUCACCGCAUGGUGGUGUGUGGAAAGGGUUUACUGGUCUUGGAUGGGCUCACGGCCUAUCAGCUUGUUGGUGAGGUAAUGGCUCACCAAGGCGACGACGGGUAGCCGGCCUGGGAGGGUGACCGGCCACACUGGGACUGAGACACGGCCCAGACUCCUACGGGAGGCAGCAGUGGGGAAUAUUGCACAAUGGGCGAAAGCCUGAUGCAGCGACGCCGCGUGAGGGAUGACGGCCUUCGGGUUGUAAACCUCUUUCAGCAGGGAAGAAGCCACAAGUGACGGUACCUGCAGAAGAAGCGCCGGCUAACUACGUGCCAGCCGCCGCAGUAA
rnacentral:rRNA from 1 species